AACGUAGGGAACCUGCCCAUGCGGCCGGGACAACUUCCGGAAACGGAUGCUGAUACCGGAUAAGGAAAGCGAAGGCAUCCUUGCUUUGUUAAAGGAGCUGCAAGGCUCCGCGCAUGGAUGGACCUGCGGUGCAUUAGCUGGUUGGUGAGGUAAAGGCUCACCAAGGCGACGAUGCAUAGCCGGCCUGAGAGGGCGAACGGCCACACUGGGACUGAGACACGGCCCAGACUCCUACGGGAGGCAGCAG
rnacentral:rRNA from 1 species